GUGGAGAUGUGAUAUCCUUUCCUAAUCAUGGAGGGGAACAGAAAGUGUACUUGCUCGACUCGAACAGGACAGAAUUGAACGCCAUGGACUCUGCCUUAAGGAGUUCAAGCAUUCCAGUUGACUUGAUAGAUUGUACAAGGAUUAAGUUCUCUUAGCGAGCUCACAAGGUAGCAGCUUUCGGCAUAGGUUUUUGGCCCAUCAGCAAUUCCACUAGUAACUCUGGCUUGGUUGUUUUCCAGGGAGCUUUGGCAGAUCACUUCUCUUUCCUAUUUUUUUCGGGCUUUCUUCAGUUGGAAAGCUUGUUGUAACUGUUUAGCCCCCGUUGAUGGGAGGCCUCCUCUUUCAUUGCCAUGGUUUUUUUGAGAAUACAGUUACCAAGCCUUAGUUUAGAUUUUCACUUGUGGCGACUCUAUUGCACAUCAAGUCCAGUCCCUGUUCUGUGUUUGCUGGAUGUAACCAUGCGCAGUAUUUUAGCUCUUGUCCUUUGUUGUUUGAUGGUAUAAUGAUCCACGAUCCCUCGACCAAGUUUGCAGUGUUUCUGUCAUAUAAAGUUUACUUUAUUGUAAGUCAUAUAUUAGUCUGUUGUUUUAAUAAGUUCAUCUUAGAUGCAAGUGUCUGAAUAAAGUGUAGUAGUGUCUGAAUAAAGAGUGGUAGUGCUUGAAACUUCAAACUCUUCUUAGGAUCCGGAUCUUGUGUGUUUCCUUUCAUCCAAGUCCUUUGUGUGUAAGGUUGCUUUGGUAGUUCUGUAUCUGGGUGCCUUAGAUCAGCAGACUUUGGCUGUUGCAUCUGGUUCAUCCCUUUGCCGCGAUAAUAAUGUUUUGUUUUGGUCAGGCCUGAUUUGUGCAGGCUUCUAUGUGAUUAUGAACUGUACUCUGCGACUACUUCAAUAAAGUGUGAUGUUUUUCUUAUCAUAUGUAAUUAAAAUGUAUGGAGG
rnacentral:misc_RNA from 1 species